CCUACGGGAGGCAGCAGUGGGGAAUAUUGCACAAUGGGGGAAACCCUGAUGCAGCAACGCCGCGUGAGCGAUGAAGGCCUUCGGGUCGUAAAGCUCUGUCCUAAGGGAAGAAUACUGACGUUACCUUAGGAGGAAGCCCCGGCUAACUACGUGCCAGCAGCCGCGGUAAUACGUAGGGGGCUAGCGUUAUCCGGAAUUACUGGGCGUAAAGGGUGCGGAGGCGGCCCUUCAAGUCAGAGGGGAAAGGCUACGGCUCAACCGUAGUAAGCCUUUGAAACUGUAGGGCUUGAGUGCAGGAGUGGAGAGCCGCAUACCAAGUGUAGCGGUGAAAGGCGUAGAUAUUGGGGGGAACACCAGUGGCGAAGGCGGCUCUAUGGACUGUAACUGACGCUGCGGCACGAAAGAGUGGGGAGCGAACCGGAUUAGAUACCCCAGUAGUC
rnacentral:rRNA from 1 species